rnacentral:rRNA from 1 species
UACGUAGGGGGCAAGCGUUGUCCGGAUUUAUUGGGCGUAAAGAGCGUGUAGGCGGCUUGGAAGUUCAGCUGUGAAAACUCGAGGCUCAACCUCGAGACGUCGGUUGAAACCACCUGGCUAGAGUCCGGAAGAGGAGAGUGGAAUUCCCGGUGUAGCGGUGAAAUGCGCAGAUAUCGGGAAGAACACCCGUGGCGAAGGCGGCUCUCUGGGACGGUACUGACGCUGAGACGCGAAAGCGUGGGGAGCGAACAGG